GGACUGGUGGUGUAGUGGUGACACAUUGCAUCCGGAUGUGAGGACGAGUGGUUCGAUUCCCUCCUAGUCCA
rnacentral:tRNA from 1 species